UACGUAGGCGGAAAAUUAAGUCAGUAGUGAAAUCCUGCAGCUUAACUGUAGAACUGUUAUUGAUACUGGUUUUCUUGAAUAUAGUUGAGGUAGGCGGAAUGUGUAAUGUAGCGGUGAAAUGCUUAGAUAUUACACAGAACACCGAUUGCGAAGGCAGCUUACUAAGCUAUGAUUGACGCUGAGGUACGAAAGCGUGGGGAGCGAACAGGAUUGAUACCCUGGUAGUC
rnacentral:rRNA from 1 species